rnacentral:rRNA from 1 species
AGGCUACGAUCAGUAGGGGUUCUGAGAGGAAGGUCCCCCACAUUGGAACUGAGACACGGUCCAAACUCCUACGGGAGGCAGCAGUGAGGAAUAUUGGUCAAUGGACGAGAGUCUGAACCAGCCAAGUAGCGUGCAGGAUGACGGCCCUAUGGGUUGUAAACUGCUUUUAUAAGGGAAUAAAGUGGGUCUCGUGAGACUUUUUGCAUGUACCUUAUGAAUAAGGACCGGCUAAUUCCGUGCCAGCAGCCGCGGUAAUACGGAAGGUCCGGGCGUUAUCCGGAUUUAUUGGGUUUAAAGGGAGCGUAGGCCGGAGAUUAAGCGUGUUGUGAAAUGUAGAUGCUCAACAUCUGCACUGCAGCGCGAACUGGUUUCCUUGAGUACGCACAAAGUGGGCGGAAUUCGUGGUGUAACGGUGAAAUGCUUAGAUAUCACGAAGAACUCCGAUUGCGAAGGCAGCUCACUGGAGCGCAACUGACGCUGA